UACGUAGGCAGCAAGCGUUUGUUCGGAAUUACUGGGCGUAAAGAGUGUGUAGGCGGUGUUCUAAGUCUGUUGUGAAAUCUCCCCGGGCUUAACUGGGGAGGGUGCGGCGGAAACUGGAAUGCUAGAGGAUGGGAGAGGUAAGCGGAAUUCCUGGUGUAGCGGUGAAAUGCGCAGAUAUCAGGAGGAACACCGAUGGCGAAGGCAGGUCUCUGGGCCACUACUGACGCUGAGAAGCGAAAGCAUGGGGAGCGAACAGG
rnacentral:rRNA from 1 species